AACUUGGCAGGGCCUCAUUGUUCUUUCUAUAGCCCCGCUGCUGUGAGGUGAGUGUCAAAGACACAAUUGUUCAUUAGCAAGAAAGUCUGUGGCCGCACACCACAGACUGGAUUAUAGCGGGAGACUGGACGGGGGACAGAGAAGAGGAGGUAAUGCUGGCAGAGGGAGGACAAAGAGGAAAAAUCAGUGGCGGGAUGAAACAACCACUCUAAUGGAAAAUGUUCCCUGCCCCAACACACUGGAUAAAAAUGACUGAGUCACUAUCAGGCUUCAGCGGGGCUUCAUGGGCAGCUGAUGAUUUGAAUCAGUUCUCAGAUCAGCACUGAUGAUGUAUAUAUGCAUGUGGAGGAACAGUGACGUACCGUGGCAACACCACAAACUUUGUUGAGCGUCCAAGAUUCACAUUACAUGAUGAGGUAAUGAAGUCUGAAGAAGAGAAGAAAGUCCUUUGGCAGUGUGAGGCAUCCCCCAGGUACAGCAGUGUAACUGCUGGUGAUGUUUAUCACUGUCACUGACUGUUGGAAAGAUAUCCACGUCCAUCUAGCCUCAGUCAGGCUGCACAUUCAAAGCCACCUGCCUGACACACAAAUGGGAACGCGAUCGACUGGUGCUGUACGCGGAACAAAAACAAUAAAUGGAAAAUUCUUGUGUCCCUGAA